AUGGAGGGAGUUCAGAGGAAGCUUCAGUCUAUGAAGCUAUCUGACGCAGAGAAGGAGGAGGUGCAAAUUGGGCGAAGGAGCGCAACCACACAGGGACCAACGAAGCUGGAAGCCAUUGGUAAGCUGAUGUUUGAUAGGUCUGCUAGAGUGGAUGCUCUGAAAACUGCGCUCGGCAGAGUUUGGUGCCCUUUCAAAGGAAUCGAAUGCAAGGAUUUAGGCAUGAACAGGUUUCUGUUCGUGUUUCGGGAGGAAGCAGGGAAGAGGAAAGCACUAGAUGGUGGUCCUUGGAUGUUUAACAAAAAGCUACUUGUGAUAGAAGAUUUCAAUCCAUCUAAAACCUUGGAGGAGUAUCAAUUCAAGUUUACACCAAUUUGGGUAAGACUCUAUGGUAUUCCGAUGGGCUCGAUGUGCAAGGAGACAGGAGAG
rnacentral:rRNA from 1 species